GAAAGAUUCAUCGGAAGAGGAUGGGCAUGCGGCGCAUUAGCUAGACGGCGGGGUAACGGCCCACCGUGGCGACGAUGCGUAGGGGUUCUGAGAGGAAGGUCCCCCACACUGGUACUGAGACACGGACCAGACUCCUACGGGAGGCAGCAGUGAGGAAUAUUGGUCAAUGGGAGAGAUCCUGAACCAGCCAAGCCGCGUGAGGGAAGACGGCCCUAUGGGUUGUAAACCUCUUUUGUCGGAGAACAAAACCCGGGACGAGUCCCGGACUGCGUGUAUCCGAAGAAAAAGCAUCGGCUAACUCCGUGCCAGCAGCCGCGGUAAUACGGAGGAUGCGAGCGUUAUCCGGAUUUAUUGGGUUUAAAGGGUGCGUAGGCGGUCCGUUAAGUCAGCGGUAAAAUUGCGGGGCUCAACCCCGUCGAGCCGUUGAAACUGGCAGACUUGAGUUGGCGAGAAGUACGCGGAAUGCGCGGUGUAGCGGUGAAAUGCAUAGAUAUCGCGCAGAACUCCGAUUGCGAAGGCAGCGUACCGGCGCCAGACUGACGCUGAGGCACGAAAGCGUGGGGAUCGAACAGGAUUAGAUACCCUGGUAGUCCACGCAGUAAACGAUGAAUGCUGGUUGUCCGGGUCGAAUGAGACCUGG
rnacentral:rRNA from 1 species